rnacentral:rRNA from 1 species
AGUGAACGCUGGCGGUAGGCCUAACACAUGCAAGUCGAACGGCAGCACAGUAAGAGCUUGCUCUUACGGGUGGCGAGUGGCGGACGGGUGAGGAAUACAUCGGAAUCUACUUUUUCGUGGGGGGUAACGUAGGGAAACUUACGCUAAUACCGCAUACGACCUACGGGUGAAAGCAGGGGAUCUUCGGACCUUGCGCGAUUGAAUGAGCCGAUGUCGGAUUAGCUAGUUGGCGGGGUAAAGGCCCACCAAGGCGACGAUCCGUAGCUGGUCUGAGAGGAUGAUCCGCCACACUGGAGCUGAGACACGGUCCAGACUCCUACGGGAGGCAGCAGUGGGGAAUAUUGGACAAUGGGCGCAAGCCUGAUCCAGCCAUACCGCGUGGGUGAAGAAGGCCUUCGGGUUGUAAAGCCCUUUUGUUGGGAAAGAAAAGCAGCAGGUUAAUACCCCGCUGUUCUGACGGUACCCAAAGAAUAAGCACCGGCUAACUUCGUG